rnacentral:tRNA from 1 species
GGGCCCAUAGCUCAAUGGUAGAGCAGCAGCCUUUUAAGCUGUUGGUUGGAGGUUCGAAUCCUCCUGGGCUCA